AUGUGCUACUCUGUCUUGGGGCUCAGCGCCCUCUUGGACGCACAGGUUGGUGCGCUCUCCCUCUGCACCGGGGUUCUGAUGGCCGCGCUUUGUCUGGCAGCGCUAGAAAAUGGCAAGAAGGAAGAGCUCGGGCCACCCGCAAUGCCAGGCCGCUGGCCCUCCUCCCUCGAGCUCAAGGCGGCGAAGAGAUGGUUGAGAUGGUGUUGCAGCUUCGCAGCGGCGAUACAUGAAGGUGCAAGGCAGCAGCGACAUGUUCCUAGUACGCUAGAGGAUGAGCUCCUACUUUUUCUGAUGCUAGCUCCUUGA
rnacentral:rRNA from 1 species